rfam:Nematostella vectensis strain CH2 x CH6 NEMVEscaffold_31_Cont5547, whole genome shotgun sequence.
UUUGUGAUUGACUCCUAUCUGAAAAUUGUCAAAAGUGAAAGCACUAAUGUGGAGGUAUUUGGAUGGGAGGAAUUUGAGAGAGG